GGAUGUGAGGGCGAUCUGGCUGCAACAUCUGUCACCCCAUUGAUCGCCAGGGUUGAUUCGGCUGAUCUGGCUGGCUAGGCGGGUGUCCCCUUCCUCCCUCACCACUCCAUGUGCAUCCCUCCCAAAGCUGCACGCUUGGUGGAAGAGGACGACCAUCCCAGAUAGAAGGAAUGUACUGUUCUUCGGUCAAGGGUAUACGAUAGCUGCACUCCCCUGCUAGAACCUUCAAACAAGCUCAAGGUCCAUUUGUAGGAGAAUGUAGGGUAGUCAAGCUUCCAAGACUCCAGACACAUCCAGGUAAGGCGCUUCAUGUGGCAGUUUGCCAUUAAAA